GCGGGCGUAGCUCAGGGGUAGAGCACAACCUUGCCAAGGUUGGGGUCGAGGGUUCGAAUCCCUCGGUCCAGCACCA
rnacentral:tRNA from 1 species